rnacentral:rRNA from 1 species
AGCGAACGCUGGCGGCAGGCUUAACACAUGCAAGUCGAGCGGGCACUUCGGUGUCAGCGGCAGACGGGUGAGUAACACGUGGGAACGUACCCUUCGGUUCGGAAUAACGCUGGGAAACUAGCGCUAAUACCGGAUACGCCCUUUUGGGGAAAGGUUUACUGCCGAAGGAUCGGCCCGCGUCUGAUUAGCUAGUUGGUGGGGUAAUGGCCUACCAAGGCGACGAUCGGUAGCUGGUCUGAGAGGAUGAUCAGCCACACUGGGACUGAGACACGGCCCAGACUCCUACGGGAGGCAGCAGUGGGGAAUAUUGGACAAUGGGCGCAAGCCUGAUCCAGCCAUGCCGCGUGAGUGAUGAAGGCCUUAGGGUUGUAAAGCUCUUUUGUCCGGGACGAUAAUGACGGUACCGGAAGAAUAAGCCCCGGCUAACUUCGUG